UGGGGAAUAUUGCACAAUGGGCGCAAGCCUGAUGCAGCCAUGCCGCGUGUGUGAAGAAGGCCUUCGGGUUGUAAAGCACUUUCAGCGAGGAGGAAGGUGGUGAGCUUAAUACGCUCAUCAAUUGACGUUACUCGCAGAAGAAGCACCGGCUAACUCCGUGCCAGCAGCCGCGGUAAUACGGAGGGUGCAAGCGUUAAUCGGAAUUACUGGGCGUAAAGCGCACGCAGGCGGUUUGUUAAGUCAGAUGUGAAAUCCCCGGGCUCAACCUGGGAACUGCAUUUGAAACUGGCAAGCUAGAGUCUCGUAGAGGGGGGUAGAAUUCCAGGUGUAGCGGUGAAAUGCGUAGAGAUCUGGAGGAAUACCGGUGGCGAAGGCGGCCCCCUGGACGAAGACUGACGCUCAGGUGCGAAAGCGUGGGGAGCAAACAGGAUUAGAUACCCCUGGUAGUCCACGCUGUAAAACGAUGUCGAUUUUGGAGGUUGUGCCCUUGAGGCGUGGCUUCCGGAGCUAACGCGUUAAAUCGACCGCCUGGGGAGUACGGCCGCAA
rnacentral:rRNA from 1 species